GACAGAGGUGCCAAGCGUUAUGCGGAAUCACUGGGCUUAAAGCGUGUGUAGGCGGAAUUGUAAGUACCUUGUGAAAUCCUACGGCUCAACCGUGGAACUGCUCGGUAUACUGCUUUUCUUGAGCCACUUAGGGGCUACCGGAACAAAUGGUGGAGCGGUGAAAUGCGUAGAUAUCAUGUGGAACGCCAAUGGUGAAAACAGGUAGCUGGGAGUGUGCUGACGCUGAGACACGAAAGCCAGGGGAGCGAACGGG
rnacentral:rRNA from 1 species